rnacentral:lncRNA from 1 species
CCUGCAGGCGCAGCAAGCUCCAGCCGGGCACCGAGGCCUGGCACAGGGUCACGGUGCCAGGGGGGACGCCCAGCAGGGUCUCCGGGGGCAGGUCCAGGUGUUCUGGGGGGGUCCUGGGGUCCAGACCCCGCAGCAGCAGGUGGGUGGGGUCCCAGGGCGGGGCCGGGCGCACAACCAGCUCGGCCCCCCCAAGCCUGUGGCUGCCGUGGGCCAACACGUUCUGUGCAUCUGUGCAGGGAAAACGGGGUCACUGGGGGCUCAGCCAGCACCCCGUCACCCCGGGGGCACCAGUGCCCACCAGUGCUCCCAGUGGGGCUGGGAGCGCCACAGCCCACCUCAGUGCCCCCAGUAAGGACUGGGCCCCCACACCCUAUCCCAGUGUUCCCAGUGGGACUGGGAGCUCCAAGCACAAUCCCAGUGGGACUGGGAACUCCACAGCUCAUCUCAGUGCUCCCAGUAAGGACUGGGCCCCCACACCCUAUCCCAGUGUUCCCAGUGGAGCUGGGACCUCCAAGCACAAUCCCAGUGCUUCCAGUAGGGCUGGGAUCCCCCAUACCUUAUCCCAGUGUACCCAGUGGGACUGGGAGCUCCAAACACAAUCCUAGUGCUCCCAGUAAGGAUUGGGUCCCCCAAACCCCAUCCCAGUCCCUCACUGGGACUGAGAUCCCCAAACCCUAUCCCAGUGCUCCCAGUGGGACUGGGACCCUCAAACCCCAUCCCAGUGGGACUGGGACCCCCAAACCCCAUCCCAGUGCUCCCAGCUGGGACUGGGACCCCCAAACCCCAUCCCAGUGCUCCCAGUGGGACUGGGAUCCCCAAACCCCAUCCCAGUGCUCCCAGUGGGACUGGGACCCCCAAACCCCAUCCCAGUGCUCCCAGUGGGACUGGGACACGACCCCCUGCCCGCGCUUACCCUGGGGGUCCUCGAAGGUGAGGAAGAGGAGGGGGCCAAGGCGCUGGCAGCUCUGCACGGGCCCCCCGCCCGAGCGCCGCCGGCUCUCGAAGUACAGCACCAGCAGCUCCUCGGGGGCGUCGCGGGGCAGCCCCUGCACCUCCAGCACCCCCCCGGCCAUCCUGGGGCACCC